rnacentral:rRNA from 1 species
UACGUAGGGUGCAAGCGUUGUCCGGAAUUAUUGGGCGUAAAGAGCUCGUAGGCGGUCAGUCGCGUCUGCUGUGAAAACUCGGGGCUUAACCCCGGGCCUGCAGUGGAUACGGGCAGGCUGGAGGCGGGCAGGGGAGAACGGAAUUCCCGGUGUAGCGGUGAAAUGCGCAGAUAUCGGGAGGAACACCGGUGGCGAAGGCGGUUCUCUGGGCCUGUACUGACGCUGAGGAGCGAAAGCGUGGGGAGCGAACAGG